UACGUAGGGUGCGAGCGUUAAUCGGAAUUACUGGGCGUAAAGCGUGCGCAGGCGGUUUUGUAAGCCAGAUGUGAAAUCCCCGGGCUCAACCUGGGAAUGGCAUUUGGGACUGCAAGGCUGGAGUACGGCAGAGGAGACUGGAAUUCCUGGUGUAGCAGUGAAAUGCGUAGAGAUCAUGAGGAAGACCAGUGGCGAAGGCGGGUCUCUGGACAGUUCCUGACACUGAGGCACGAAGGCCAGGGGAGCAAACGGG
rnacentral:rRNA from 1 species